UCUUUCUCUUCGUGGUCUCUUGGUGGAUUGCCUGUGAUGCAUGUCACAUUCCUGUUUAAUGCUUACUCAAUAACAAAACAUGUUUUUUUCUUUACUA